rnacentral:rRNA from 1 species
GAUGAACGCUGGCGGCGUGCUUAACACAUGCAAGUCGAACGGAAAGGCUCCUGCUUGCAGGGGUGCUCGAGUGGCGAACGGGUGAGUAACACGUGGGUGAUCUGCCCUGCACUUCGGGAUAAGCCUGGGAAACUGGGUCUAAUACCGGAUAGGACGAUGGUUUGGAUGCCAUUGUGGAAAGUUUUUUCGGUGUGGGAUGAGCUCGCGGCCUAUCAGCUUGUUGGUGGGGUAAUGGCCUACCAAGGCGUCGACGGGUAGCCGGCCUGAGAGGGUGUACGGCCACAUUGGGACUGAGAUACGGCCCAGACUCCUACGGGAGGCAGCAGUGGGGAAUAUUGCACAAUGGGCGCAAGCCUGAUGCAGCGACGCCGCGUGGGGGAUGACGGCCUUCGGGUUGUAAACUCCUUUCGCUAGGGACGAAGCGCAAGUGACGGUACCUGGAGAAGAAGCACCGGCUAACUACGUG